rnacentral:misc_RNA from 1 species
UCUCCGUAGGUGAACCUGCGGAGGGAUCAUUAAUGAGUGAGGGGGCCACCCCCAACCUCCAACCCUUUGUGAACGCAUCAUGUUGCUUCGGGGGCGACCCUGCCGUUCGCGGCGUGGGGCCCCCGGAGCCCAUCAAACCCUGCGUAACUAAGUCGUCGGAGUUUAAACAAAUUAAACAAAACUUUCAACAACGGAUCUCUUGGUUCGGGCAUCGAUGAAGAACGCAGC